GAUGAACGCUGGCGGCGUGCCUAAUACAUGCAAGUCGAGCGAACAGACGAGGAGCUUGCUCCUCUGACGUUAGCGGCGGACGGGUGAGUAACACGUGGAUAACCUACCUAUAAGACUGGGAUAACUUCGGGAAACCGGAGCUAAUACCGGAUAAUAUAUUGAACCGCAUGGUUCAAUAGUGAAAGACGGUUUUGCUGUCACUUAUAGAUGGAUCCGCGCCGCAUUAGCUAGUUGGUAAGGUAACGGCUUACCAAGGCAACGAUGCGUAGCCGACCCGAGAGGGUGAUCGGCCACACUGGGACUGAGACACGGUCCAGACUCCUACGGGAGGCAGCAGUAGGGAAUCUUCCGCAAUGGGCGAAAGCUUGACGGAGCAACGCCGCGUGAGUGAUGAAGGUCUUCGGAUCGUAAAACUCUGUUAUUAGGGAAGAACAAAUGUGUAAGUAACUAUGCACGUCUUGACGGUACCUAAUCAGAAAGCCACGGCUAACUACGUG
rnacentral:rRNA from 1 species